CUGAGUUAUACAACUAAAGACACAUGACACCAUGGACUGACAGGCAUUGAUAUAUUUUGACUGAUAUAUUUUGUUAUUACCUUUAUAUUUAUGUAUGUAUGUAUGUAUGUAUGUAUGUAUGUAUGUAUCUAUCUAUCUAUCUAUCUAUCUAUCUAUCUAUCUAUCUAUCAUCUAUCUUGUAUACGUUAGUGUCUGGGUAUGCAGGUGUCAUGGUGCACAUGUGGAACCCAGAGGACAACUUGCUGGAGCUGCUUCUCUCUUUCUAUCAGCACUGCAUGCAACAGGCCAGCAGAUCCAUGAGUCUCCAGGGAGUCUCCUGUCUCCAUUUCUCAUGUGGUCAUAGGAGCACUGGGUGCUGUAUCUACCUUCACAUGUGUUCUAUGGAUUGGAACUCAGGUCUUCACACUCCGACAGCAGGUUUCAAAAGUCCACACCUGGUCCAGUGUCCUUCUUUGCCUUCUGUCUGUGGAUCAGGAUCUAAAGUUCCCAACUGUUGCUCCAGCUCCAUGCCUGCCUGCUUCCUAUCAUGAUGAUAAUGGACUAACCCUCUAAAACUGUACUCAA